rnacentral:rRNA from 1 species
ACUCCUACGGGGAGGCAGCAGUGGGGAAUAUUGCACAAUGGGGGGAAACCCUGAUGCAGCCAUGCCGCGUGUGUGAAGAAGGCCUUGGGUUGUAAAGCACUUUCAGUAGGGAGGAAGGUAGUGUAGUUAACACCUGCAUUAUUUGACGUUACCUACAGAAGAAGCACCGGCUAACUCCGUGCCAGCAGCCGCGGUAAGUACGGAGGGUGCGAGCGUUAAUCGGAAUUACGUGGGCGUAAAGCGCAUGCAGGCGGCCUGUUAAGUCAGAUGUGAAAGCCCGGGGUCUUAACCGUCGGAAUUGCAUUUGAAACUGGCAGGCUAGAGUCUUGUAGAGGGGUUAGAAUUUCGAGGUGUAGCGGUGAAAUGCGUAGAGAUCUGAAGGAAUACCGAGUGGCGAAGGCGGCCCCGUGGACAAAGACUGACGCUCAGAUGCGAAAGCGUGGGAGCAAACGAGGAUUAGAUACCCCGUGGUAGCGACUGA